rnacentral:rRNA from 1 species
CCUACGGGUGGCAGCAGUGAGGAAUAUUGGUCAAUGGACGCAAGUCUGAACCAGCCAUGCCGCGUGCAGGAAGACGGCUCUAUGAGUUGUAAACUGCUUUUGUACGAGGAUAAACUCAGAUACGCGUAUCUGUCUGAAAGUAUCGUACGAAUAAGGAUCGGCUAACUCCGUGCCAGCAGCCGCGGUAAUACGGAGGAUGCGAGCGUUAUCCGGAUUUAUUGGGUUUAAGGGGUGCGUAGGCGGAUCGUUAAGUCAGUGGUCAAAUUGAGGGGCUCAACCCCUUCCCGCCAUUGAAACUGGCGGUCUUGAGUGGAAGAGAAGUAGGCGGAAUGCGUGGUGUAGCGGUGAAAUGCAUAGAUAUCACGCAGAACUCCGAUUGCGAAGGCAGCAUGCCGGCUUGCGACUGACGCUGAAGCACGAAAGCGUGGGGAUCGAACAGGAUUAGAUACCCCUGUAGUC